rnacentral:lncRNA from 1 species
GGGGAGCGUGAGUCAUGUUGCCAUAGUUGAGCUGGCACAUAAAACUGCGAGUCACACCAGAAGAGGACAUUGGAUCCCACUAUAGAGGGUUGUGAGCCACCUUGUGGUUGCUGGGAAUUGAACUCAGAAACUCUGGAAGAGCGGUUGGUGCGCUUUACUGCUGAGUCAUCUCUCCAGUCCCAGGUAACCCCAUUCUUAUGCUCAGGAUCCACACGUUAGUCGGAGAAUGAUAAGCAUAUUGUGGAGUAAAACAGUAAAGAAGGCUCCAGGCCUCCCGGCACCCCAAGUCUGGGUGUGGGAAAUUAUGUCUCCCCAUUAGUUUAACUGACUCAAACUUCAGACUUUGUAAAAGGACAUUUUUCUAAAAUAAAGAAGAAAUGGUACAGAGACAUGUGACUCUGUAAUGCCUGGGUCGAUUCCUCCCAAGAAAACAAAAGCCAUCGACAAAUAAACUUGAGGCAUGAGUCUGAACCUUCUAGAGCACAUCUGUGUGAUAGGCUAAGUAUUCUACUUGUUUGAUGAUAUAGCCCAAUUCAGGCUAAAUAACUUAGUGAUUAGGUGUUCUGCCCAGUUUAUAGAACAAGGAAUUGAAGCUUGGAGAAGAUUGAUGGGCCACUCAAGUUCCCUGGAUGGUCCAGGAUUCAGACUGUGGAUGGCCUAAUACAUCAGUUUUGCUGGCUCCCUGUGUUUGGCUAACCUUAGAGCCUCUUACCUUGCCAUAGUCUUUUCUAUGAAGGACAGAGAUCCAAGGAGUAGACCAACUUACCUGAGUUCACACAGUGGACCUGGGUCUUUCACCUCCCAGCGCAAUGUUCCUAUGUCCUGCCACUGAAGAGACAGGUGGGAGGGAGCUCAAGGUUGGCUUGCCUAACAACCAUUGCUUGAAAGACAAAGCUCCCAAGGAGAGCACAAGAUACCUCACUCAAGACUGCUCUGCAUCACCAGCCAGUGUGAACAGAGCCUGCGGCUGUCAGCAGAGUAGUCUUUGUCUCGGAGACACGCUGUGUCUACAAUUGGACUAGGAACUUUGGAUUAGGGUGGGCAUCAUGCCCCAUAGGACAGUGGUGGUGUAUGUAGCCUCAUUUCUGAGUUUAUUUAGAGAGGAGAAAGAAUGUACCAUAGCCCCCAAAGGCUUUAGGUUACAGUGAAUUCUCUUUAGUUCAGAUGUAGUUUAGUUUAGCUUGGUUUGGUUAGCUGUGGUUUCAUUCUGUUCCGUUCCAUUCUGUUUGGUUCGGUUCGGUUCGGUUCCGUUGCAGAGUUGUUGCUCUACGAUGCUUUGCAUCCCAGCUUCCCUGCUCUCUCUUGCUUUGGUUCCCAUCAGGCCCAGAAUAAAUGACAAGGGGAGGGUCAUAGAACAAGCUAAAAGAUGCUUUUUAUUGGCAGG